rnacentral:rRNA from 1 species
CCAACCGGGAUUGCCCUAGUAACGGCGAGUGAAGCGGCAACAGCUCAAAUUUGAAAUCUGGCUUCGGCCCGAAUUGUAAUUGGCAGAGGAUGCAUCGGGAGACGACCUGUUCCAAGUCCGCUGGAACGCGGCGUCCUAGAGGGUGAGAAUCCCGUACGUGAGCGGUGUCUGCUCCCAUGUGAUGCUCCUUCGACGAGUCGAGUUGUUUGGGAAUGCAGCUCUAAAUGGGUGGUAUAUUUCAUCUAAAGCUAAAUACCGGCCAGAGACCGAUAGCGCACAAGUAGAGUGAUCGAAAGAUGAAAAGCACUUUGGAAAGAGAGUUAAACAGUACGUGAAAUUGUUGAAAGGGAAGCGCUUGCAGCCAGACUCGCCCGGGGUGCUCAGCCGUUCUUUGGGACGGUGUACUCAUCUUCGGGCGGGCCAGCAUCGGUUCGGGCGGCUGGAUAAAGACCCUGGGAACGUAGCUCUCUACGGGGAGUGUUAUAGCCCGGGGUGUAAUACGGCCAGCCUGGACCGAGGACCGCGCUUCGGCAAGGAUGCUGGCGUAAUGGCUGUCAGCGACCCGUCUUGAAACACGGACCAAGGAGUGCUCCAUCGGUGCGAGUGUUUGGGCGAAAAACCCACACGCGCAAUGAAAGUGAACGGAGGUGAGAGCCUUAGGGUGCAUCAUCGACCGAUCCUGAUGUCUUCGGAUGGAUUUGAGUAAGAGCAUCGCUGGAGUGACCCGAAAGAUGGUGAACUAUGCGCGGAUAGGGUGAAGCCAGAGGAAACUCUGGUGGAAGCUCGUAGGGGUUCUGACGUGCAAAUCGAUCUUAAAAUCUACGCAUAGGGGCGAAAGACUUAUCGAACCAUUCGUUACGUGAGUUAUAGCGACAAGCUACUGGGUGGUUAAGUGUGGGCAAGUAAUUGCUAGCAAGUACCUCAUCUUAGGUGCGAGACCGUCAAAUUGCGGGGACGUCCUAAAGCCUCUGUUACCGCCCAUCCCAGGAAACUGGGGUGCGGCACCAGGGAGAGAAACCCUGGGUAUGGUAAAAAGACAGUGGAUGUUACAAUGGAUAAUCGCGCAGCCAAGUCCUAAGUCGGUUCUCCGAUAUGGAUGCAGUUCAUCGACUAGAUGGCGGCCGGCCUCAUAUUGAGGCUUAAGGUAUAGUCAGGCCCCCGGGAGACCGGGGCGUGUACGCUAAAUCCACGAUCAUAAGAUGCUCCUUCGGGGGUGGUUGUGGACCUGAACGGCACGUUCCUAGGUGGCCUUUUAAUGGCCCCUAGCGGAGACAUACAAGGAAGUUCUGGCCUAUCUGCCUAGAAUCUCUUGAAACGCUAGUAGCUGGUUCCUGCCGAAGUUUCGUAAGUACACCUAUUUUCUACCCCAAAUGUUGGGGCAGAUUUUGGGGGACUUGCAAAGCAAUAAUUGGGGGGUUUUUUUCAAGUUCACAAAAAAAAUUGUCAAGAAAAAUGAACUUGAAUAAGAAACUUGCCUGUUGUUGCUUGCAGGUCUCCUAGAUCUGCUCUACAGAUGUUAAAUGUAGUGAAUACAAGCUAACAGUUAAACAGCCUCAGGAUAGCAGUGACGUUUUCAGUUUUAUGAGGUAAAGCGAAUGAUUAGUGGCUCGGGGGCUUUUUCUUGCCUUCACCAAUUCUCAAACUUUAAAUAUGUAAGACGCCCUUGUUACUUAGUUGAACGUGGGCUUUGAAU